GACGAACGCUGGCGGCGUGCCUAAUACAUGCAAGUAGAACGCUGAAGGAGGAGCUUGCUUCUCUGGAUGAGUUGCGAACGGGUGAGUAACGCGUAGGUAACCUGCCUGGUAGCAGGGGAUAACUAUUGGAAACGAUAGCUAAUACCGCAUAAGAGUAGAUGUUGCAUGACAUUUACUUAAAAGGUGCAAAUGCAUCACUACCAGAUGGACCUGCGUUGUAUUAGCUAGUUGGUGGGGUAACGGCUCACCAAGGCGACGAUACAUAGCCGACCUGAGAGGGUGAUCGGCCACACUGGGACUGAGACACGGCCCAGACUCCUACGGGAGGCAGCAGUAGGGAAUCUUCGGCAAUGGACGGAAGUCUGACCGAGCAACGCCGCGUGAGUGAAGAAGGUUUUCGGAUCGUAAAGCUCUGUUGUAAGAGAAGAAACGAGUGUGAGAAGUGGAAAGUUCAC
rnacentral:rRNA from 1 species